UUCGCACAGUAUAAAAAGUCAAUCAAACAAUUAAGAUUAAUAUAACAUUGGCACAGCUUAUCAUUAUCGAAACUUACAACGAAAAAUGAAUAUGUGCGAAGAUGACAGAUUCGUGAAAGUAGCUUUUGAUGUUGGCACUACUAAAAACAAUUGCAUUUGCUUCGGAAAUUUGCGACGGCAUUGAUUUCCGUAGCAAUUGAGACUCUAUUGCUACGGAAAAUGUUCCGUCGCAAUUAAGUCUUAUCAUUUGCGACGGAAAAUCUUUGCCGUAGUAACUUUGUAAUCAAUUGCUACGCCUUUUCCUCUUGCCGUCGCAUAACUUAUUUCUAUUUCCCCGCUAACAUCUCGAUCUGUAGCCUUAAUUAACCCAAGCUCUCUCUGUCUCUCUUCUCGCCCAAGCGCUUUCUCUCUCUCUCUCUCUCUCUUCUCGCCCAAGCUCACCCAAGCUCUCUCUCUCUCUCUUCAGAACUUGGGUUUCUGUCUUCGUCCAAACUCAGGUCCAAGGGCCUGAGGAUCCACGACAACCCUGCUCUCGAGCAUGCCUCCAAGGCCUCCAAUUUCCUCUACCCGGUCUUCUUCAUCGAUCAACACUGCAUGAAUCCCGACCCGAACGCACCCUCGGCCGGGUCCUCCAAGGCCGGCCUGAACCGAAUCUGGCGCUUAUUAGAGUCAAGGGAAGAAUUUGCGGAUCUUAGAGCCAAGGGUUGCGAGCUUCUGGCAUCAGCUUUGUUUCACAACUGGAAAUCACUGAGCAAGAGGAAAAAAAUCAAACAAUAGCUUCAUCUGUUCACUGUCAAAGAUAAAUGAAGCUACAGCUUCAACACCAAAACCAUCAAUUAAGAAUCUGCAACAAAGAAAAUAGUGAUGUCUAACCCCAGGAAGGCAUUUGGAUGGGCUGCAAGAGAUUCAUCUGGUGUUCUCUCUCCCUUCAGUUUCUCCAGAAGAGCUUGCAUGGAAAGGCAGCUUCAUAAUAAAUAUAUUUUGUGCACAAACAGUAAAGGGUAGAAGAAACUGUUUCAUAUAUUUUUCCCUUCUUAAAGGUAACGAGUGUUGGAAUCAAUACUGAAUGGGGAUUGUUGAUGGCAAGUAUAUCUCUGAGGAUACCUAUAAAGAAACUCUUCUACAGGUUCUUGCAUUUUUUCUAGAAUGUUGUUCUUUAAUUUUGGAAAAUCACUUACAGCUGAUUGCUAUCUAUUUGUGGUCUGAAAGUUAUCUAUACGGCUAGAGCUCUACUCUAGUAAUAUUCAUAUUGUUAUCUCUCUGCUGCGUACAAGUGAUUAUGAUGGAUGUAGGUAGGCUUUUACUAUUCGUCACAAUUGCUUGCAUCUGUUAUUCUAUGGUAAAUUAAAUAUAAAGCCUAAGGUCUAUGAUUUUAGUGCAAACAAGGUUGACAUGGAAACUAAAACCGAAAGCGAAGAAGGCAUGGUUCCAACUUCCUAUAUUAACAUUAGGUUUCUUGUGUUUUUUUGUGCUGUGCUUAAUCAUGUUUUCUGUAAUGGUUUGCAAGCUCAUUUUCUUCACUGUUGCUUGAAGUAAAUGAUCUCUUACCAUUCCUGUAAGAGUCUGA